rnacentral:rRNA from 1 species
GACGAACCGUGCAAACGUUAUUCGGAAUCACUGGGCUUAAAGGGCGCGUAGGCGGGUUCUCAAGUCAGGGGUGAAAUCCUCCAGCUUAACUGGAGAAGUGCCUUUGAUACUGGGAAUCUCGAGGGAGGUAGGGGCGUGCGGAACUUCGGGUGGAGCGGUGAAAUGCGUAGAUAUCCGAAGGAACACCGGUGGCGAAAGCGGCGCGCUGGACCUCUUCUGACGCUGAGGCGCGAAAGCCAGGGGAGCAAACGGG